rnacentral:lncRNA from 1 species
GACGAGUUUGAUAGGAAGUUCUUCUUGAGCAGAUCAGACACGCAUGCAUCCCUUGCAAGGGUGGACUUGUUCACCUUAGGAUCAACCGCCGAUGUUGAAGAAGAACCCUUAGCCUGGGCAGACGACUUCAUCAUCUUCUUAGCCUUCGCGAACCUCAUCUCCAAAGGAGUCAAUGAUAUUGAAUCAACUCUAGGCUUGAUUGCCCGUGACUCAACAACUGGAUCAUGAGCAGAUCUCCCGCUUCGAUCUCCAUCUUUUGACUGAUGCAGACGACUCAAACUUUGAGGAGGAAUGUCUGCAUCUCUUUUACGCUUAGUAGAACUGGGUCAGGCACGAGCUGCCUCGCAAAGCAUAUCGUGGUUUUCAACCAUGUCAGCAGAAGGCUCGGGCAGAACACCUUGAGCACCGUGCAUACAACCAAUCUUCGUGCUAUAUGCACCCAUAAGUUGUUUGACCCUGGCAAAUGAUGAUGGAGUAAACCCCACUUGAGUUUUCUCAGCAGAAGGGAGCCUUGGCUUCUUCCGAGAUGAAGACCCAUUCUUUGCGUGGGAAGAAGUAGCUUCACCUCUUGAAGAUUUGGCAGCAGCCUUUCUUUUUAAGAGAGAUUCAGCAGAACACUCUUCCUAUCCGGCAAGCAGAUCAUCAGGGUCAGGACCGUUCUACUUCCACCUUUCAACAUCCUCCGCCUCUCCUAGCACGAGCCCACUUUGCGCACUAGGCCUAGCCUCUAGACCUCCACUUCAAGCCCAGCGCAUGCACAGCCCGAUCCGGCCAACCCUCCAGAGCUCCAGCAAUGCAUGCAGGCCCUAGCUUGCCUAGCAACGAAGUUGCGCAGCCCUUCCAAGCCUCCAGUCAUACCCAGGCCAAUUGCACAGGGCACAAACCAA